GACAGAGUGAGAGCAUUCCGCAGCAUAAUCAGCACAUCCCAACUCAUAAAUCCAUCCAAACUUUGAAGUUAUGGCGACCCUUCUUGUUCCUCAUGAUGUUCCUCCCCCAAAUGUUGAUGCAGAAGCCAUUAAAGCCGCUUUCCGAGGGUGGGGGACUGAUGAGAAGGCCAUCGUUGCCGUGCUAGGCUACAGAAAUGCAGGUCAGAGGAGGCAAAUCAGGAUUGCUUAUGAACAGCUUUUUGAAGAGGAUCUUGUUAAGCGCUUUGAAUCUGAGCUCUCUGGCCACCUCGAGAGAGCUGUGUACCGAUGGAUACUAGAUCCAGAGGACAGAGACGCUGUGUUGGCGCACGUCGCCCUAAGGAAGCCCACUGAAGAUUUUGCAGUGCUUGUUGAAUUUUCUUGCAUUUACUCUCCUGAAGAGUUCUUGGCGGUCAGAAGGGCGUAUCAACACCGGUACAAGCGAUCAUUAGAGGAAGAUGUUGCCGCCAACACUCACGAUGAAUUUCGCAAGCUGUUGGUGGGAUUAGUAAGUGCAUACCGUUACAAUGGUGGAGAGAUAGAUGCAAGACUAGCCAAAUCAGAAGCUGAGAUACUUGAGCGUGCAGUUAAAGACAAAGCCUUCAAUCAUGAAGAUGUUAUAAGGAUCCUAACCACAAGGAGUAAGGCACAGCUGAUUGCAACUUUCAAUCACUACAAAGAUGCCAAUGGUAUUUCUAUCUCUAAGCAAUUGGGUCAAGAUCGUGCUGCCAACGAGUUCACAGAAGCACUUAAAACUGUGAUUCGAUGCAUCAAUGACCCUAUCAAAUACUAUGAGAAGGUUGUGCGAAAUGCAAUCAAGAAGGUGGGGAAAAGCGAUGAAGAUGCAUUGACUCGCGUGGUGGUGACAAGGGCGGAGAAAGACUUGAGGCAGAUAAAGGAGGCUUAUCACAAGAGAAACAGUGUUACCCUUGAUGAUGCUGUGUCCAAGGAGACCUCUGGCGACUACAAGCACUUCAUCCUUGCUCUUCUGGGUAAUAAAGCUGAGUAAAAACACUGCUUCUUGAAUCCAUAAUAUAUAUUGCCUAUGAGUGUUUUAAUCGGCUUGUAAGUAGUUGCUUUAUUAAAUAAUAAGAUGUUUUAUGCCCUGGGACUUGUGUUUGUUGAAGAGUGCUUGGUUUUGUAAUGAGGACAUAUUUAUAUUAAUUAAGCUGUG
rnacentral:misc_RNA from 1 species